GAUUUCUGGUGUGCUCAUCUUAAUCUAUCAGAGGUUACUUUGAUAAGUAUUAAGAUUCGAUCUACCAUAAUUUCAAUUGUGAUCAGUACUAUUCAUUUAGUAUUGGUUAUUAAGCAAUUGAAUCUUUUACUUUGAAAAAAUUAGAGUGUUCAAAGCAAGCAUUUGCUAUGAAUAUAUUAGCAUGGAAUAAUAAUUUAGGACUUCGGUUCUAUUUUGUUGGUUUCUAUAACUGAAGUAAUGAUUGAUAGGGAUAGUUGGGGGUGCUAGUAUUGGCCGGUCAGAGGUGAAAUUCUUGGAUUCGGUCAAGACUAACUUAUGCGAAAGCAUU
rnacentral:rRNA from 1 species